UGGGGAAUUUUGGACAAUGGGCGAAAGCCUGAUCCAGCAAUGCCGCGUGUGUGAAGAAGGCCUUCGGGUUGUAAAGCACUUUUCAGCGAGGAGGAAGGUGGUGGACUUAAUACGUUCAUCAAUUGACGUUACUCGCAGAAGAAGCACCGGCUAACUCCGUGCCAGCAGCCGCGGUAAUACGGAGGGUGCAAAGCGUUAAAUCGGAAUUACUGGGCGUAAAAGCGCACGCAGGCGGUUUGUUAAGUCAGAUGUGAAAUCCCCGGGCUCAACCUGGGAACUGCAUUUGAAAACUGGCAAGCUAGAGUCUCGUAGAGGGGGGUAGAAUUCCAGGUGUAGCGGUGAAAUGCGUAGAGAUCUGGAGGAAUACCGGUGGCGAAGGCGGCCCCCUGGACGAAGACUGACGCUCAGGUGCGAAAAGCGUGGGGAGCAAAACAGGAUUAGAUACCCUGGUAGUCCACGCUGUAAAACGAUGUCGAUUUUGGAGGUUGUGCCCUUGAGGCGUGGGCUUCCGGAGCUAACGCGUUAAAAUCGACCGCCUGGGGAGUACGGCCGC
rnacentral:rRNA from 1 species